GAUGAACGCUGGCGGCGUGCCUAAUACAUGCAAGUCGAGCGAAUGGAUUAAGAGCUUGCUCUUAUGAAGUUAGCGGCGGACGGGUGAGUAACACGUGGGUAACCUGCCCAUAAGACUGGGAUAACUCCGGGAAACCGGGGCUAAUGCCGGAUAAUAUUUCGAACUGCAUGGUUCAAAAUUGAAAGGCGGCUUCGGCUGUCACUUAUGGAUGGACCCGCGUCGCAUUAGCUAGUUGGUGAGGUAACGGCUCACCAAGGCAACGAUGCGUAGCCGACCUGAGAGGGUGAUCGGCCACACUGGGACUGAGACACGGCCCAGACUCCUACGGGAGGCAGCAGUAGGGAAUCUUCCGCAAUGGACGAAAGUCUGACGGAGCAACGCCGCGUGAGUGAUGAAGGCUUUCUGGUCGUAAAACUCUGUUGUUAGGGAAGAACAAGUGCUAGUUGAAGAAGCUGGCACCUUGACGGUACCUAACCAGAAAGCCACGGCUAACUACGUGCCAGCAGCCGCAGUAA
rnacentral:rRNA from 1 species